rnacentral:misc_RNA from 1 species
GGUUCACCUUGCCACUAUUCCGAUCACCGGUACCGGAAUCAACCCGGCGAGGAGUUUCGGGGCAGCUGUGAUUUUCAACGGUGAUAAGGCGUGGGACGAACACUGGAUUUUCUGGGUCGGGCCAUUUAUCGGAGCUUUCAUCGCCGCUGUCUACCACCAGUACAUUCUCCGAGCCGGAGCAAUUAAAGCUCUUGGUUCAUUCAGAAGCAAUGCGUGAUAAAAGAUGGAAUAAUUUGAGAAAUUUGUAAAUAAAAAGUUUGUUAUGUCACAUCUAUCGUAAAAUGUAACGUGCAUCGAGCUUUAAAAAGUUUGUUAUUUCAAAUGGGGGAAAAAAAGGUGUGACUAUUCUAUCCUUUUGAUUUAUUUUUUUGUUUUGUUUGCUUUGGAUGUAUUUAAGUUAAAUCUAUUUGUAAUGUUUGGUUUUAUCUAGUUGUCCCUUUGUUAUCUUUUUUUGUAUUUCUCCUUGAUUUCAUGUACAUUAUAAUAAUAGUGUAUAUGUUGGGUUAAAUUUUUUUUUCAUGUACUUUGAAAUGAUUAAUUUUGUGA